rfam:Oryza nivara chromosome 6, whole genome shotgun sequence.
CCGACGUAGUAGUGUGAGUUUCUAUAUCCAACAUUUGAUCAUUCAUUUUAUUUAAAGUUCUUUUAUGAUUAGUAUUGUUAUUGUUAUUAGAUGAUAAAACAUGAAUAUUACUUCAUGCGUAACUUUUUUUAUUUUUCGUAAAUUUUUCAAAUAAAACGGAUGGACAAACGUUGGAUAUAGAAACCCCACAACCAUACUUAAA